AACGAACGCUGGCGGCAGGCUUAACACAUGCAAGUCGAACGCCCCGCAAGGGGAGUGGCAGACGGGUGAGUAACACGUGGGAACGUGCCUUUAGGUUCGGAAUAACUCAGGGAAACUUGUGCUAAUACCGAAUGUGCCCUUCGGGGGAAAGAUUUAUCGCCUUUAGAGCGGCCCGCGUCUGAUUAGCUAGUUGGUGAGGUAAUGGCUCACCAAGGCUACGAUCAGUAGCUGGUCUGAGAGGAUGAUCAGCCACAUUGGGACUGAGACACGGCCCAAACUCCUACGGGAGGCAGCAGUGGGGAAUCUUGCGCAAUGGGCGAAAGCCUGACGCAGCCAUGCCGCGUGAAUGAUGAAGGUCUUAGGAUUGUAAAAUUCUUUCACCGGGGACGAUAAUGACGGUACCCGGAGAAGAAGCCCCGGCUAACUUCGUGCCAGCCGCCGCCGUAACAC
rnacentral:rRNA from 1 species